ACGUAGGGGGCGAGCGUUGUCCGAAUUUACUGGGCGUAAAGCGCGCGUAGGCGGUUUCUUAAGUCUGGGGUGAAAGGUUCAGCGCUCAACGUGAACAGUGCCUUGGAUACUGGGAGACUUGAGUCUGGGAGGGGGCAGUGGAAUUCCUGGUGUAGCGGUGAAAUGCGUAGAUAUCAGGAGGAACACCGGUGGCGAAGGCGGCUGCCUGGCCUAAGACUGACGCUGAGGUGCGAAAGCGUGGGUAGCGAACGGGA
rnacentral:rRNA from 1 species